UAAAUAAACAAACAAACAAAUAAGAAGAAACUCAUCACCAAAGGCCCCAUGGAAUAUCUGCAAUACCCUGAAGACCAUGAUGUUCAGCAGCAACAAGGAAGUGCCACAAGAAAGCAUAACCAUUGAUCAUUGACAAAAUGACUUGGCUCUAUCUGGAUUUAUGUAAGAAAUCCUUUUGUAAGGAUCUUUGCAAAUUUUCCUUGCUUAACCAAGGAAUUUAGAAGAACAGAAAAAGUAGUGGAGUCAAAUAAAUUCCAGAACACGAAUAGUAGACAUUGUAGAAUCAGAAAUAGUAGAGAUUAAUACCUUUCCUCUCCAUCAUGAGGGGCAUGGCCAACAUUCAUAACAAAAUGAGAGCAGCAGGAGGUAGACAAAUGCCUAAGUAGACAGAGGAAGGUCCCGAGUGAAACCCCACCUUCAAUCCAAAAUCAGCCCGAGACCUGCAACCUAGAGUGAGAUCUUCUAUUCCUGUUUGCCUGCUCUUUCCCAAUUGGUUCUUUCUGAAUAAUGCUUUUAAACUAACCAAAAGUUACCUAUUCCAAUGCUACCUUCGUCCCACCCCUCCCCAUCCUGUGCUUGUAAAAACCCUAGACUCAUCCACACCGGGGGAGAAACCACCUGACUUCGGGUGGGGAAGCUCUCCUGUGACCCCUCUCCACUGAGAGCUGUUUUGUCACUCAAUAAAAUUCUUCUCCACCCUCCUCACCCUUCAAUUGUCAGCAUAUCCUCAUUUUUCUAGGACACAGGACAAGAACUCAGGAAUCACCAGACCCAUAAUAUGAGCUAUAACACAGAUGGGCUGGGGCACACCUGGCCCAGCUGCGGGCUGAGCCAGUGUGCAAGCCAGGCACAGCCUGGGUGGGCUGAGUGGGUGGGCCACCUCCUGCAGCAAGUAGCAUGGCCAAGCAAGGCCCAGGCGGGGGCGUCGCCGGCCGGCGGUUCCCAGCUGGUGAAGUGACUGAGAAAAAUCCUGCAUCAAAAAGACAGGUUAACAAGAAAAAAGCACACCAGUUUAUUCAAAAUUUUAUGUGACACUAAAGCCUUCAGAAAUGAAGACUCAAAGACUCAGGGAAAAGUGUCUAUUUUUAUGCUUGGGUUUGGUGAGGCAUGAACAGCUGUGUAGCAAUGUGAUUGGACAAAAGGGGAAGACCUAAAGAUAAUAGACCGAGUAGGGAAACUCAGCAAAGCUGUACGGAUUCCUCUUGGGCUGUCUGUGGUAUCAUUUCUUCCUUCUUGAUAUGGGGCAGGACCCAUCUGGAUUGAGGGUCUUAUGACCUACUAUUAAAGAGAGGUAGGUCAGAGAAUUUCUUUAUAGUCAGCUCCUAGA
rnacentral:lncRNA from 1 species